rnacentral:lncRNA from 1 species
CCAUAUGUGGUUCACAAGAGCAAUCGGAAUGGGACUUAUGAGUUGCUUGCAUCGAAUGGUUCCACUUUUACUGUUAAUGGCCAUCGCCUUAAACCGUACUUCAAAGCAGAGUUGGACCGCGACGUGGAAGUGGUCAAUUUCGUUGAUCCAUGAUUGGGAGGUAUCGUCAAGCUAUAGACGUUAAUUUUAGCACUUCUUGGGAGGUAACCCAAUUUUUAUUGCUUUCUUUCUUUUAGCUUGUUUUUUUUUAGUUUUUAGUUCUUUUUCGUUUUUCCUAGUUGUUUUUUCUUUCUCUCGUUUUUCGUGUUCUAUAUAUAAAAAUGUCGCAGCCCGUUCCCAAACGCUAGUGAUAGCGGGGUACGGGUAUCGAUACGACUAAUAUAAAUAAAUAACGAACAAUAGAACUAAACUGAACAUCGGGCGGAAGCUUACAUCAAAACAUACUAAGGCAAAGCAUUAUAACUCGGCUCAAAGGUAUAUACGUUGACAUCGU